GCCCUUGUCGUUCAACGGAUAGGACGGGAAUUUCCUAAAUUUCAAAUGGAGGUCCGACUCCUCCCGAGGGCACCA
rnacentral:tRNA from 2 species